rnacentral:tRNA from 1 species
UNAAAGAGAUAGGAGUCGAACCUACGUCUAAGGGAUC